GAAUUUAAUAUAAGGUCUAGCCUGCCCAUUGAAUAUUUGAAAGGCGCGCGGUAAUUUGACCGUGCAAAGGUAGCAUAAUCAUUAGUUUUUUAAUUGAAAGCUUGUAUGAAAGGUUGAAUGAAAAAUAAACUGUCUUAUUGAUAAAAAUUGAAUUUAACUUUUAAGUGAAAAGGCUUAAAUAUUANGAAAGGACGAUAAGACCCUAUAAAACUUUAUAUAAAUUAGAUUUUUUAUUNNAUAAUUGUUUGUUUAGUAAGAAAUAAUUUAUUAGUAUUUUAUUGGGGCGAUAGGAAUAUAUAAGUAACUGUUCUUUUUAAUAACAAAUAUUGUUGAUUGGAAANGAUCCUUAAUAGAGAUUAUAAGACAAAGUUACUUUAGGGGAUNACAGCGUAAUUUUUNUUAAGAGUUNAUAUCGACCAAAAAGAUUGCGACCUCNAUGUUGAAUUAAAUUNUCCUUUAUNGGUGCAAAACUGUAAAAAAAGUCUGNUCNACUUUUAAA
rnacentral:rRNA from 1 species